CUGGCGGCGUGCCUAACACAUGCAAGUCGAGCGGGGACAUGCGACGGAUAUGAAGUUUCGGAUGGAUUGAAGAUGCAAUGUUCUAGCGGCGGACGGGUGAGUAACGCGUGAGCAACCUGUCCCUUACAGGGGGAUAACACAGCGAAAGUUGUACUAAUACCGCAUAAGACCACAGAGUCACAUGGCUUAGGGGUCAAAAGGAGCAAUCCGGUAAGGGGUGGGCUCGCGUCCGAUUAGAUAGUUGGUGAGGUAACGGCCCACCAAGUCGACGAUCGGUAGCCGACCUGAGAGGGUGAUCGGCCACAUUGGGACUGAGACACGGCCCAAACUCCUACGGGAGGCAGCAGUGGGGAAUAUUGGGCAAUGGGGGAAACCCUGACCCAGCAACGCCGCGUGAGGGAAGAAGGUUUUCGGAUCGUAAACCUCUGUCCUUGGUGAAGAGAGAGAGACGGUAGCCAAGGAGGAAGCCCCGGCUAACUACGUGCCAGCAGCUGC
rnacentral:rRNA from 1 species